UCGGCUCAGAGCGAACGCGGCGGCAUGCUUAACACAUGCAAGUCGCACGGACCUUUCGGGGUGAGUGGCGGACGGGUGAGUAUCGCGUAGGGAUCUAUCCACGGGUGGGGGAUAACAUCGGGAAACUGGUGCUAAUACCGCAUGAUACCUGAGGGUCAAAGGCGCAAGUCGCCUGUGGAGGAGCCUGCGUUCGAUUAGCUUGUUGGUGGGGUAAAGGCCUACCAAGGCGAUGAUCGAUAGCUGGUCUGAGAGGAUGAUCAGCCACACUGGGACUGAGACACGGCCCAGACUCCUACGGGAGGCAGCAGUGGGGAAUAUUGGACAAUGGGCUAAAGCCUGAUCCAGCAAUGCC
rnacentral:rRNA from 1 species